AAGCAGCAAAAAAAAACGCUACGUAGAAAAAGUGAAGCUUUGCGGCGGUGUUGACCCACUGCUGCUGGGCACGGACGAGCUGUGCUUUGAUGUCGAGCUUGUGCCAAAGGUAGAAGUCUGCGACAUCAAGGAUAAUUUAGUUCACGCGACUAGCUACGUUACACAUGAGCAACUAAAUGCAAAAAAAAAAAACUGGUCUCGAAGUGCACAACUACCUGACAAGCGGUUUUGUUCAGGAGCCGCAGCUGAAGAAGGUGGACGACGUCAUCAUCGUAUGCAGAAAGGUAAACCAUUUGCAGUCACUUUCGACACAACCACUCGAGCCAUGGAUUAUUAUUAAAGAAGACGGAAUAGUGAAGGCAGCACACUGUACGCUCAUGGCGGGCCUGGGUGAGGCCGUUCUCACUUAGGCGCAGUUCUUUUUUAUUUGGAGGCAGCAGCUUCAUUUCAAGAGAGCCAGGCCUGCACAGACAAGACAAACAAAUGGUUGCCACCUCAUAUGACCAAUGUGGCCUGUGUACCAAUUGCUGAGAUAUACUUUUCAUCAUCCAAUGCAAAAAGACGGCGUCUCAGUGAAACAAAGCACCCUUCUGCGAAGAAAAGUAAAGCUCGCAUCGAGAGGUCAUCAAAAGAAGAAUGGGCUGCCUUCCUGACCAGUGCAAAAUACUGGAGCGCAAUCUGCAGUGCUCUCACUCACAACGGGUUAUUGCGAUGACUUCAUUCCGUUGUCUCACAAGUAUUCUACAGCUGUUCUUGGGGAGCUGACCGAUAUCAAAUCAGCAACAUGGGACAACAUUUAAGAGGAGUGCCAGAUGUUUGUACUAGUGUUCACUGUAGAAUUGAAGGUAAGCAACACAUUGCUUUUGACAUCAUGUAAACGUUAAAGCUUGGUGUGCUUAACAAGCUGUAGCAUAGUGGUACUCUUACGAUAGCGUAGUAGUAUGUAAUUUUGGUGCGCCUGAGGUGUUAAAGCUGCAUUCUUAAGAAGAGUACAGUUUACUGGUCAGUUAAUGUUUCCGCAAGGCACGUAAGGAGCGUGGAAUUUAUGCAUUCCUUCAGGCAGUAUUUUGCUAAAAUAUUUUUAAUAAUCUUGGCAUAUCGGCUUGUGCCUGUUACGUAAAGGGCAGAAUGGCAAAGUACUUGUAUUUUCCAUACCAGUGGUCAACGUGAGUGAUGCCAGUUCAUAAACUUGUUGCAUUGCAACACCUUCACUGUUUGAAUGGUCUCUGUUUUGAACAUGCAUGUACGUCAGGCUGUAGAGGCAGCAACAAGGGAGCAGUCAGCAUCUUCUGUUUGGUUUGCAUUCUGAGCAGGAAGGGUGACAUCAUCGACCGCGUAUGCAACCUGUCGAACACCCCUCUACAAGCCGUCCAUAAGCCUCAAGAGGAUGUGCUAUCCCGAAGAGCAGAAGUUCUUUUCAGCGGCAACCGAAUGGGGGAAACACAAAGAAGUAGUAGCCAGGAAGCCUUACAUUUCGGCAAUGACUGCAUGAGAAAGCAUGAGAAAUUUGUGUGUCAUAGCUCUGGCCAACACAUUUCUGCAGAGGAACCCUACCUAGCCGCCAGCCCAGAUGGCUUGAUUUCGUGUGAAUGCUGUCACGAUGGCGUGCUAGAAAUUAAGUGUCCCUAUUCAGCAGUCUGUGUGGGUGAUAUGCUGGAGCAGAAAGGUGGCUGUUUGGGGCUAUGUGAUGACAGUGCACGAUUGAAGAGAAGCCAUGCAUACUUCUGCCAAGUACAACUACAACUGUACCUGUGUCAGCGGCAGUACUGUGAUUUCGUUCUGUGGACACCAUCAGAUUUGUCUUUCUGCAAAUAAAUGACACAGAAGUCCAAAGCA